CUUCCAAGUUCUGCAAGCAGGGCCCAAUCUCCGUAAUGGCUACAAGUGGCUGUAAAUGCACAGUGGCAAGUGUUUGGAUAGUAAAACACGAAUGAAUUUAUUAUACCGAAAAACUUAUUGGAAAUUUCAUCGUCGCUAAUUGAAGACAACACCCUUAGAAGAGGCUUCCAAAAACGAAAAUUAACAAAUUUUUAUUGAAAUUAAAUAAAUAUGAGGAGGCAAACAUUAAGUAAUAAUUGUGGAGGAG
rnacentral:lncRNA from 1 species